GAGUUUGAUCAUGGCUCAGAGCGAACGCUGGCGGCAGGCCUAACACAUGCAAGUCGAGGGGCCGUAGCAAUACGGCACCGGCAGACGGGAGAGUAACACGUGGGAACGUGCCCAUCAGUUCGGAACAACCCAGGGAAACUUGGGCUAAUACCGGAUACGCCCUUACGGGGAAAGAUUUAUCGCUGAUGGAGCGGCCCGCGUCUGAUUAGCUUGUUGGUGAGGUAACGGCUCACCAAGGCGACGAUCAGUAGCUGGUCUGAGAGGAUGAUCAGCCUCACUGGGACUGAGACACGGCCCAGACUCCUACGGGAGGCAGCAGUGGGGAAUAUUGGACAAUGGGCGCAAGCCUGAUCCAGCCAUGCCGCGUGGAUGAUGAAGGCCCUAGGGUUGUAAAGUCCUUUCGGCGGGGAAGAUAAUGACGGUACCCGCAGAAGAAGCCCCGGCUAACUUCGUGCCAGCCGCCGCGGU
rnacentral:rRNA from 1 species